rnacentral:rRNA from 1 species
UACGAAGGGUGCAAACGUUGCUCGGAAUUAUUGGGCGUAAAGCGCACGUAGGCGGCUUAGCAAGUCGGAAGUGAAAUCCCUCGGCUCAACCAAGGAAGUGCUUUCGAAACUGCUGAGCUUGAGUACGAAAGAGGAUCGCGGAAUUCCCGGUGUAGAGGUGAAAUUCGUAGAUAUCGGGAAGGAACACCAGUGGCGAAGGCG